rnacentral:rRNA from 1 species
UACGUAGGGGGCAAGCGUUGUCCGGAAUCAUUGGGCGUAAAGAGCGUGUAGGCGGCUCGGUAAGUCCGCUGUGAAAGUCCAGGGCUCAACCCUGGAAUGCCGGUGGAAACUGUCGAGCUAGAGUCCGGAAGAGGCGAGUGGAAUUCCUGGUGUAGCGGUGAAAUGCGCAGAUAUCAGGAGGAACACCAAAGGCGAAGGCAGUGUCCUGGGUGGUCGCUGACGCUGAGAGGCGAAAGCCAGGGGAGCGAACGGG